rnacentral:tRNA from 1 species
UAGCUCAGCUGGUUAGAGCGUCGCGCUAAUAACGCGAAGGUCGCAGGUUCGAGGGCCAUUACACCUGU